UACAGCCAUGUCAUGUUGAAAUAUGAGUUCUCAUACAAUCACUGAAGUUAAGUAAUGUCAGUCCUGGUCAGUACCUGGAUGGGUGACUGCUUGGGAAUACCAGGUGUUGUAA